CGGAGAUGUCAGCAAUGACACUAGUAGAGUGCAAUCUCUGCAUUGCUAAGUGGCUGUCACAUUCUUUUAAAGGUAUCCAUCAACUGAGCCACAACUCAAGCAAGCCACAGACAGCCCUAGAGGGGGGAAAUACCUUUAACAUGCAUGCAACACGACGAGCACAACGAUGUGACCGGAGCGUUGCCAUGAUACUCCACGCCCGCAGCUUCAGCCCAGUCCAGAAGCAACCCGUAGUCACUUGGUUGGUUCUGAAAGGAAUGGACAGCUAGAAACACCGCAGCUAAAAUUCCAGCAAUCCUGUAAGAGGGAAAGCUUGGGGAUUCAUACCAGCAGCCUAUCGGUUACUGGUCCAUUUGUAAGCUGUCUAACGCCUCGCUAACAAAUGGAAGAGGAGAGAAGGAGAGGUUAAGUAAAGAGGACAAGCUGAAACACAGAAAAAAGAGAAGUGGCAGAGACAUGGAUAAAGGAGGGCAUUUGGGAUUAAAGUCUCUAUGUCAUCAACACAGAGAAAAAGAUGAUAGCCCUGGAGGAGAAAAGGAGAAAUUUGAGGACAAAGUGAGAACGAUUGAGGAGGCAGCUAAAUGAUGAAAUGAAAAAGAUUAACUUAUUAAGUGUGAGACAGAGCAACUCACAAGAGCCCCUCCCUCAGAGAAAUGACCAGAAAACCACAUCACAAAACAACACC
ensembl:lncRNA